UGGGGAAUUUUGGACAAUGGGCGAAAGCCUGAUCCAGCAAUGCCGCGUGUGUGAAGAAGGCCUUCGGGUUGUAAAGCACUUUUGUCCGGAAAGAAAUCCUUGGCUCUAAUACAGUCGGGGGAUGACGGUACCGGAAGAGUAAGCACCGGCUAACUACGUGCCAGCAGCCGCGGUAAUACGUAGGGUGCAAGCGUUAAUCGGAAUUACUGGGCGUAAAGCGUGCGCAGGCGGUUUGCUAAGACCGAUGUGAAAUCCCCGGGCUCAACCUGGGAACUGCAUUGGUGACUGGCAGGCUAGAGUAUGGCAGAGGGGGGUAGAAUUCCACGUGUAGCAGUGAAAUGCGUAGAGAUGUGGAGGAAUACCGAUGGCGAAGGCAGCCCCCUGGGCCAAUACUGACGCUCAUGCACGAAAGCGUGGGGAGCAAAACAGGAUUAGAUACCCUGGUAGUCCACGCCCUAAACGAUGUCAACUAGUUGUUGGGGAUUCAUUUCCUUAGUAACGUAGCUAACGCGUGAAGUUGACCGCCUGGGGAGUACGGUCGCAAG
rnacentral:rRNA from 1 species